GUGGGGAAUAUUGGACAAUGGGGGGAACCCUGAUCCAGCCAUGCCGCGUGUGUGAAGAAGGCCUUUUGGUUGUAAAGCACUUUAAGCGAGGAGGAGGCUACCGAGAUUAAUACUCUUGGAUAGUGGACGUUACUCGCAGAAUAAGCACCGGCUAACUCUGUGCCAGCAGCCGCGGUAAUACAGAGGGUGCAAGCGUUAAUCGGAUUUACUGGGCGUAAAGCGCGCGUAGGUGGCCAAUUAAGUCAAAUGUGAAAUCCCCGAGCUUAACUUGGGAAUUGCAUUCGAUACUGGUUGGCUAGAGUAUGGGAGAGGAUGGUAGAAUUCCAGGUGUAGCGGUGAAAUGCGUAGAGAUCUGGAGGAAUACCGAUGGCGAAGGCAGCCAUCUGGCCUAAUACUGACACUGAGGUGCGAAAGCAUGGGGAGCAAACAGGAUUAGAUACCAGAGUAGUCC
rnacentral:rRNA from 1 species